GAGUCCGCCGUUGGUGUGUGAAUGUGGGUAUGAAUGGUUCUAAGUUCCUCUGGAUAAAAGUGUCUGCUAAAUACACUAUUGUAAAUGUAAAUACAAAUGUAAAGGUAAAUGUUUCCCUAAUAUGAGCUCAUUCUUAAGGUAAACGAUGCUGCUGCUGCCGCGGGAAGACGGAGGCGGGGCUUGUUGAUUACGCCAGUAUAAAACAUGCACACAGGCCACGCCCCUCUGCCCAGCAAGGACCAGGAUUGGUCAAAGAAAACAUUCCUCGAGGCAUCAUAUACGCAGCCGUGAGGUUACAGAGCUUGCCCCCGAGGCAGUGAUGGACGGAUCCACUGGCGAAUAAGGAUUCAGUAAAUCGUUAGAUUCUAUUUGUAUUUUUUUUUUUUUUUUUUUAUGAUUUUCAACUUCAAUUCAACUGUUACAAUAAAUACAUAUAAAGAGGUAA